AUUUGCUGAUGGGAACAUUGUCUCCUGAUAUGUGCCAAUUGACUGGCCUAUGGUACUUUGAUGUGAGGGGCAAUAACCUCUCAGGAACCAUACCAGAUAACAUUGGGAAUUGUACAAGCUACGAAAUCCAGGAUAUUUCUUACAAUCAAAUCACUGGAGAGAUUCCUUAAAACAUUGGUUUCCUGCAAGUAGCUACAUUGUCUCUUCAGGGAAAUAGGCUUACUAGGAAGAUUCUAGAAGUGAUAGGACUCAUGCAAGCUCCUGCUGUUUUGUGAGUUUUGUACCAUCUUCUCAAAUUCUUUUCAUUUUUUUUUUCAAAAUUUCU